rnacentral:rRNA from 1 species
AAGAGCCACAGCAUUUAGCUGUGUAAAAGUAGCAUAAUCAUUCGUCUUUUAAAUGAAGACUUGUAUGAACGGCAACACGAGAGUUUAACUGUCUCAUUCUCUUAGUCAAUGAAACUGAACUUUUCGUGCAAAUGCGAUAAUAAAAACAUAAGACGAAAAGACCCUGUGGAGCUUCAGAAGCUAAACAAUUCUAAUAAAUACUCAACUAUCUUAGGUCCUGUUAACCUUCUUAGGUUGGGGCGACCCUGGAGAAAAAUUAAACCUCCAUGAAAAACAUCUAAAUUUUAAAAGGCCUACUACCCUAAUUUCAGAACCUCUGUUUAAACGACCCAGUCUACAAGACUGAUUAACGAAUCAAGUUACCCCAGGGAUAACAGCGCUAUCCCCUUUAAAAGUCCCCAUCGACAAGGGUGUUUACGACCUCGAUGUUGGAUCAGGACAUCCCAAU